GAUGAAUGCUGGCGGCGUGCCUAACACAUGCAAGUCGAGCGGCAGCGAGGGGUGCUUGUACCCUGUCGGCGAGCGGCGAACGGCUGAGUAACGCGUAGGAAUUUGCCCCAAAGUGAGGAAUAACUGCCCGAAAGGGUAGCUAAUGCCGCAUAUGGUCUUCGGAUUAAAGGAUUUAUCCGCUUUGGGAGAAGCCUGCGUUGGAUUAGGUUGUUGGUAGGGUAAUGGCCUACCAAGCCGACGAUCCAUAGCUGGUCUGAGAGGAUGAUCAGCCAGACUGGAACUGAGACACGGUCCAGACUCCUACGGGAGGCAGCAGUGAGGAAUCUUCCACAAUGGGCGAAAGCCUGAUGGAGCAACGCCGCGUGAAGGAUGAAGGCCUUCGGGUUGUAAACUUCUUUUAUGAGUGAAGAAUAUGACGGUAACUCAUGAAUAAGCACCGGCUAACUACGUG
rnacentral:rRNA from 1 species